CGCGUCCAGAACUAGACACUCAGGGCACGAGGCCUCUUCUGGGGACCAAGCGGCUCGCAGCUAGCUGCCUGUCGCUGAUGCAAUCCGGGCAAAGAAAUGAUUCACUUCUAUCCUGCCAUCAGCCUCAGGAUUUUGGCCAAGUGCAGAUAUCGCGGGGACAUCUGCACCCCAAAGGACAUCGAGAAAGCACAGAAAAGUGUAAAGAAGCUGGGGAAGUCCCUCAUCGUCCCAUCACUCACACGCCAUUGUAAUGAUGGGUUUGGUAUUUUUCCACUCAGUUUUUUCUCUGCAUUUUUUUCGUGUUACAGCCAACUUUACAGUAUCUCUAUCAACACGUGCAAAGAAAUACUUAUGUAAAUGACAGGUGUGAACCACAGAUAGAAUUUUAAAUGUUUCAGUAGUCUGAUUAA
rnacentral:lncRNA from 1 species